rnacentral:rRNA from 1 species
UACGUAGGGGGCUAGCGUUGUCCGGAAUCAUUGGGCGUAAAGCGCGUGUAGGCGGCCCGGUAAGUCCGCUGUGAAAGUCGGGGGCUCAACCCUCGAAUGCCGGUGGAUACUGUCGGGCUAGAGUGCGGAAGAGGCGAGUGGAAUUCCUGGUGUAGCGGUGAAAUGCGCAGAUAUCAGGAGGAACACCAAUUGCGAAGGCAGCUCGCUGGGACGUGACUGACGCUGAGACGCGAAAGCGUGGGGAGCAAACGGG